UCAGACGAUGCGUCAUGCAUAUCAAUAAGCGGAGGAAAAGAAACUAACAAGGAUUCCCUUAGUAACGGCGAGUGAAGCGGGAAGAGCUCAAAUUUGAAAUCUUCAAGGUUUUACCUUGACGAAUUGUAGUUUAAAGAAGUGUUUUCUGUUGAAGUUUUGGUAAAAGUUCUUUGGAAUAGGACAUCAUAGAGGGUGAGAAUCCCGUAUUUGACCAUUAUUUUCAGCUUUGUGAUACACUUUCAAAGAGUCGGAUUGUUUGGGAAUGCAGUCCAAAAUGGGUGGUAAAUUUCAUCUAAAGCUAAAUAUUGGCGAGAGACCGAUAGCGAACAAGUACCGUGAGGGAAAGAUGAAAAGAACUUUGAAAAGAGAGUUAAACAGUACGUAAAAUUGUCAAAAGGGAAGCGUUUGACACCAGUGUUGUUUUAUCUCGAAAAUCAAUUAAAAAGAGUUAGAUUUUGUUGUGUAUUGACCUUAACAGCUUGCAUUUCAAUUUUCUUGCUUUUUUUAAUGCACUUUUCGUUUAACAAGUCAACAUCAGUUUCUUUUGUUGUAAAAAGGUCAUUGGAAGGUGGCUUUCUUUUCGGAGAAAGUGUUUAUAGCCUUUGACUCCUGCAAUCGGAGAGACUGAGGUCUGCAGCGUAGACUCUUCGGGGUUAGAUACAUUUGUGCUAAGUUAUAGCCUUUUAUAGACAACUUGUUGACUAUAAUUAGUCUUGUAGCUUACUCACUUAUGCUAUUUUACCUACGCUUAGGAUGUUGAGUCGUAGAGCACGCAG
rnacentral:rRNA from 1 species